CUGAGGAAGCAGCAGGUGUGAACCUCGUUCAGACGGCCCAGCCAGAGCUUUGGAGCAGCUACAGAUCCACAGUUUGACUCAGUGGAACAGAGAUUCUGAGUCGCAUCCUGAUGAACCCUGACCCUCCUCCAUAUGAGCCCCCAACCCCCAAAGUCCCAUCAGCCCCUGGGGUCCCUGCAGGUUUCUUCUAUGCUGCCACACCCUAUCAGACCUUCCCUCAGGGGGACCCUGGAACAGAGCAGUACUUCUACUAUCCAGGACCCCCAGGGUUACGGCCACCCAUGCCAUCUAACCAGAUCCCCAUGAGUCCACCAGGGUAUCAGGAUUCGGACCCUGGGCCUGCGGAGGAGGCCCGCCCAUCAAAACACACAGUGUACCUCAUGGAUAACCAGGAACAGGAAAAUGGCAGCGCCUCAUGUUUGGCCGUCGUCUCCACGUUGCUCUGCUGCUGCUCGCUGCUGCCACUUGUUCUCCAUCACUGUUGGUUCUUUUAAGCUCCGCCUUCAACACCGGCUCCCACCUAUCACUGUGGCCCACACUACAGAAAAAAAAAAGGGUGUGGUAAAGAGCUGCAUAACACCAAGCAUAAUGUUCUACUUUUAGAUUUUGUUGUACAUUGUUAUUUUAAUAGCCAAUAUAUUAGGAGUGAAUUGCCAGUGUUGGUGUAAAUAACACUGACGCUAGUGUAAGGUAACACUCAUUACAAAACUACAACUCUCUUAUCAUUGUUAGCCACUGGU
rnacentral:lncRNA from 1 species